rnacentral:lncRNA from 1 species
GUUUCUGUGAGACCAUAUGCCAGGUCUAGCAUGUCCAUUUCUUCAUCAGUAAUUGCAUCUAGUUUCUCAAAUAUGUGGUCUUCAAAGAUUAAAUGACAAGUUGAACAGGCUAACGUCCCUUCACAUGCACCAAAACCAUCUAUGUCUAGAUUAUUUUCAACAACAACAUCCAGCAAUGAGUCUCCAGGUUUUCCUUUGGCUGUUAGCUUAUCACCAUCGCGGUUUAUGAAAUGAACAGUUAUUUUAUCUUCUGAGCUGCACGCCGCCCGAGCCGAGAGGCUGAGCGGCCGCAACGUCCUCACAGCCACGGCGCUGCAGCUCGGCCCCGUCCCCGCUGUCGGCAAAGCGGAGAGGAACCAGCGGCGGGAAGGAGCGGCGGCGGCGGCCCGGAGCAGCAGGCGGGCCGGUGCCGGAGCGGCCAUGGCAGCGGGCGGGCAGCGCGAGGCCUCAGCGCCGGCACCGGGAGGGGUGGGGGCAAAGUCUCGGCGUUUACGCCUUCGGCGCAGGUUGCGGCGACUUUCGUAGCGAUCUACGCCAUCCACGUAACGCGCUUCCCGCCCCCUUCUGGCGGCGUCGAGAGGGGACCGCGGGACGGGAGGAACGGCGGUACGCAAAGUGCGCAGCGUAGCGCCGCGUAGCUGCAGGCGGUACGGGAGAGGCGUAGGGCUGCUCGCCGCUAGGGCUGGCCUUCCCGCCUCGUUCCUUCGGGGCCCGCCGCAGGCGGUGACAGAUCCCUGCUCCCAAAUCCAAGCCCUGGUUCUUUCGCGAGGUACUCCCGUGGAGCCCGACGUGAGCUCGUCCCCUCCCCGGUUUGCUCUGUGAGGGACUUCUUGACUCCCCAGGUCCUCGGUGCUAUUUCUUCUAAGAGAAGCUGAACUUCUAACACACAGGGUUCAGGAGGACAACAUUCUGCAUGUGUACAAAUGGUCACCAGAUAAUCUCCACAAGUUACUGAAGAUGCCCUCUGACUCCUGGCUUUUCAUCAGCAAGAGACAUGGUGGAGUGAGUGAUAAACGAGUACUGCAUGUUGAUCUUUAUUAUCUUUGAAGAAUACAUCCUCGAGGAGCCUGCUAGAAAGGAACGCACUUACUUCUAAAGACAGCCGGUUAGUUUGUACCGAGAAGCAGCUCAAUUACACAAGAAAGCGUUUGGUGUGAGAUUGUUAGAGAAAGUGAAGUACAAAGGUAGCGUAGGAAGGCUUGCAGUUGGUCUGUGUGCCCGCCAGGAGGCACGGCAAGCUUGGGCUGCAGCUUGUUCAUAGUGCUGAGCAGAUCAGUAACGAAGGGAAGCAAAAGUUUUCCUCUGUUUUUUGCAUCCGGAAGAAGGAAAUUGAGAGAUUUCUAAUGAAUAUAUAGAAUAAAAAUGGGAGCGUGGAGAACUGGCAAGAAACUGGAGUAAUCAGAUGCAUGUGUGUUGAAACUAUCCUCCAGCCAAGGCUGUGAAUUGAAAUACACUUUGUUGCUGUUGUUCACUUUCAUAAAUGUCACAGUUGGUGUGACUGAAAACAAAAAUAUUGAUCAGUGCAUAAAGCAAUAAAGUGGCUCUUCUUAAGGUAUACAUAAGCAGCUGUGUAAGAGAACUUUCCAAAUUAGAUACCUCUGUGCACAUGUGGAAAAGGACCAAGUUCUGGUGCUGCAAACAUUAAUGCACGUGAAUCAUCAUAUCUAUUAUCUAUCAGUAUAUAUAUAUAAAAGAUUAGAAAAAGAAAACCCACACAAAGCAGACACGGACUUACCAAAAGGCACUGCACGUUUGGGACUGUGCAGCAGUCUGGUUUGGAAUAAGCUUAUCAGUUAUGUUUUGUCUCCAGUGGUGUAACUGAAUUAGGAGAAAUGAUCCCUUUCUCUGCCAGCCUAGGAGCAUGCAGAUCGCACCUGGAACCUGAACAGUGGUGUACUCAAAGCUGCCACACGUUACAAUUUCUAUAACAUUUUAAUCAAAGCGCUCUUUCCGUCAUUUCAAAAUCAGAUGGUAAGUGAGGAAUUGAGCAUCAGAGAAGAAGCAAGCAAAAAGUUCUUUUCCCAGGCUUGAAAAGAAAAGAAAUAAGAGCACAGAAAGGAAAUAAAGAGAACCCCAAACUAUUAUUAAAGUCUCAUGAUUGUAUAUAUUUUUUUAAUUGCCAGUCUCAUGACUUUCUGGGAACUGAUUUAUUGAAAGCCUUGGUUUGGCAAUUCUGUGCUUGGCUAGCUUGGCCUUUGCCCAAGUCCCCUUUUUUUCUUGGCAGCACUUGAAACAGUUGAGCUGUGGCCCAUGCUCCUUCAUAAUCCAAGAUUGCUGUGUGCAAUGAAGAGCCCUUCAGCAGAGGAAAUGAGCACGGUGACCCCAAGCCCAGCUGGCUGCAUGUGCUGUGGGGGGCUGCUUCCCGGCACUGCCCCCUUGGUGGGCUCAGCGCAUCUGGCGCUCUGCAACUGGUGCAGAAACUCGUGUUUAUUUUAAAUCCCGUUGGUUCAGCUGGCAGUAACCC